AUGAAACUCAAAUCGCGAAUCCGCAACCCAGCCAACAACAACACCGUACCUCACCGGGGCGGCCGAGCCUGGGCAGCUGCCCUAGCUGGCCGGACGCUGACUCCGCCAGUGAGCUAUGUGGAUGAAAUUAUGAGGGAUGCUAAAUAUAUUAGAGAGGUUGAUGGAAGAAAAGUAACUUCGGUAAGAACUGCACUUCUUAUAUGCUUUAGGAAUUUAGCAUACAAUGGUCAAUUAUCUCCCGAAAUGCUCUUUCCACUUUAG